AUACGAAGGGGGCUAGCGUUGGUCGGAAUUACUGGGCGUAAAGCGCGCGUAGGCGGAUUGGUCAGUUAGGGGUGAAAUCCCAGGGCUUAACACUGGAACUGCCUCCAAUACUGUCAGUCUUGAGUUCGGGAGAGGUGAGUGGAAUUCCUAGUGUAGAGGUGAAAUUCGUAGAUAUUAGGAAGAACACCAGUGGCGAAGGCGGCUCACUGGCCCGAUACUGACGCUGAGGCGCGAAAGCGUAGGGAGCAAACAGGAUUAGAUACCCUAGUAGUCCC
rnacentral:rRNA from 1 species